AAAUUUACGUGUUGCUGAUUCUCAAGGUUAGCACGAUGUCUUUCUUAGCUGCAGUGAACAUUGGUAGAAGAGGAAUUCAUUGUUUUAGCACAACAAGUAAAAUUCCAAAGAGUUUAGAGGGCGGUCAGCAGCGAGUCAUCGACGCAGCGCUUGGUCUCGUUCGCGAGCAGGCAAAACUUAAGGGAGAGCAAGUGAGGGCAUUGGGUGGUGCUAAAGCUACAACAUGUCUUCUUGGAGUUCCUCUUGGACAUCAUUCAUCAUAUCACCAAGGUCCACAAUAUGCUCCACCAUUCAUACGAGAGGGAAUCUGGCAUGGAA